UGUUGCCUGAGACACGAGGCAACCCUCUGUAUCGCAAGGACAUACCAGCACCCUCCAGCAACCUGGACCACAGCUCAAAGUCAUCAAUUUCCAAUAUCAAGUAUUCAACAUAGAAAAAAGAAGAACAAGAGCAAAUGUUUGUUGUAACGACAUUAUCGAUACU